UGUCAAUGAAUCUGUCUCUCAAAGCCUAAAAGAUACGCACUGAUCCAUCCACAGGGCUCAGCUUGAUGGGAACCAAAAGUUGACUGAAUUUGUUCACGCCCUGGAAGCUGCUUGCGUUGGGACAAUAGAGUCCGGGAAGAUGACUAAGGAUUUAGCUAUAUUGGUUCAUGGACCCAAGGUAUCAAGGGAACACUACUUGAAUACUGAAGAAUUUAUUGAUGCUGUAGCACUGAAACUUCAAGAGAAGCUUGGUGCCUCCGCAAUUGUAUGAGCUGAAACAGAUCAUGAGCAGCAAAUCAUCACAUAUUUUUUGCUUCCUACUCAUACCCUUCACAGUGAACAUAAAUCUAUACGCCGCCAAUGGAGAUUCUUUUAUACUAGUUUCUGUAAUCGCUCCGAUAGGAAAUAACAUCUCUUUGAGUGAUUCAUGCUGGUGACUCUUAAAAUCCUCAAAUAAAAAUGCCAUUUCUCGUCCAUUUGUCAAUUUUA